UUUCCCGCCAAAAUUUGUUAAAUUAAUUAAAAAUCAGACAGGCAUUUUUUUACCUUUUACAGCACAGAAAAUGAAGGUCAGAGUAUGGAGCAAGGAACAAUUGUAACACAAGACAGAACAACAGUAGUGUUUAAAAAGUCACCAGGUUCAGAAUACGGAAGAUGAAAUCCUGCGAGCUUCCCAGGGAUCCUGUUGGCGCAGUGACUCCUUCCAGGUUCUGCAUCUUGACCAGAGGCUUGUAACUUUUUAACAAGCAUCAUUCCACAGCGAGAGGACGACAGAGGUACAGAGCAUCACAUCCAAGAGAAGUCAGAAAUGGAUUAGUUUUGGGGACCAGUCUUUCCACACCCUCGCUCUUAUGGAACAGAUCCCCUUCAACUUUUGAUAUGAACUGCUUGGAAUUUUCCUAAGGCAGGGUUGGGUCCGUAAAAGGAAUGGCUGAAUUGCAUGCCGGUUUCUCAGAUCUGUGCUGCUCCCCCCCCCCAACAUUAUUUCUGUGGAUGAGGAAGGGUGCAUAUCUGUAUAG